AUUGAACGCUGGCGGCAUGCCUUACACAUGCAAGUCGAACGGCAGCGGGGACUUCGGUCCGCCGGCGAGUGGCGAACGGGUGAGUAAUGUAUCGGAACGUACCAUUGAGUGGGGGAUAACUAUCCGAAAGGAUAGCUAAUACCGCAUAUUCUCUCCGGAGGUAAGCAGGGGACCGCAAGGCCUUGCGCUCAUUGCGCGGCCGAUAUCAGAUUAGCUAGUUGGGUAGGUAAAGGCUCACCAAGGCGACGAUAUGUAGCGGGUCUGAGAGGGUGGCCGGCCACAACGGAGCUGAGACACGGUCCAGACUCCUACGGGAGGCAGCAGUGGGGAAUUUUGAACAAUGGGGGCAACCCUGAUCCAGCCAUGCCGCGUGAGUGAAGAAGGCCUUCGGGUUGUAAAGCUCUUUCGGCCGGGAAAAAAUCGCAUGGGUUAAUACCCUGUGUGGAUGAUGGUACCGGAAUAAGAAGCACCGACUAACUACGUGCCAGCAGCCGCAGUAAAAC
rnacentral:rRNA from 1 species